GUUGGAAACUAAGAAUGGUAGUCGAGGACGCAUCGCGCUUGUCACAAAAAAAAACAUCUUAAAAAUGAGGCAAACAACACACUAUUACCAGAAAAUGUUGCCCUUUCCUGAAAGAUGUCUUGAUCGCCGAUUCACACAGAUGAGUGCGUCACUCCUUUGCCAAUACUCGAUGCAAAAUGUUCACGAGGACUCGGUCUGGACACAGACCGACGACUUUCAUGGCAAUCCGACUUGACAAUCAAGCUGAAUGAAAAAGACUGCGGAGAUUCAUUCAAAAAUAAAAAGUCAC